AUGGCAGGAUCACAAGCCGACGAGACUGACUGGGAGAACAUGACGAAUAAGGAGUUGCAUGAUAAAUUUCACCAAAUGAUGAGUGGACAGGUGCAAGAUGUGCUAAACAGAUUUGAAGAGGCCAUGGAGAAGAUAGAUGGCAUGGAGAAGACGUUCGAAACAAAGCUCGAUAAUAGGUUUAAUGAAUUGCUCGCGCGUCUUCCACCACCACCACCGGUUGCACCUAACGCACCUCUACAGCAACAACAACAACGACUACCUACACAUCGCGAAACAGCCCUCCGUCGAGCGAGACGUCUCCCUCUUGCACCUGGCCACACUGUUGGUGCUACUGUUGAUACUUUUGUGGCUCCUGCUGCUGAUGCGGAGGAGGAUGAUUUUGCGGGAGAUUACGAGGAUGAGGUUGAUCAAAAUCAGAACUACGUGCCACCACCAGCACGACAACCACCAGGUUGUCCACAUGCAAAUAAUGGCAAUGGUAGGGCUCACCCUCAGGUACGAGAUCAUGACCAUCUCCCUAAACUAAAAUUGAAUAUUCCACCAUUUGAGGGUAGAUAUGUUCCUGAUAUAUAUCUUACUUGGGAGUUAGAAACUGAACAACGAUUUACAUGUUUACAAUAUCCCGAGGAGAGACGUGUUCCUACUGCUGUUUGUGCAUUCACUAGUUUUGCAUGUGUUUGGUGGUCUGAGCAUUGUAGAUUACAUCCUAUUCCAGCUACUUGGGCUGCUUUGAAAACUGCUAUGUGUACUCGUUGGGUUCCACCAUAUUAUCAACGUGAAUUACUUCAAAAAUUGCAGCGUUUAAGACAAGGAAAAAAUUCUAUAGAAGAAUAUUAUCAGGAAUUACAAACUGGCAUGAUUAGAUGUGGUAUUAUUGAGGAGAAUGAAGCUAUGCUUACACGUUUUAUGGGUGGAUUAAAUAGAGAUAUUCAGACCAUUCUAGAGUAUAAGGAGUAUACUAAUAUCACUCGUUUAUUCCAUCUUGCUUGUAAAGCUGAACAUGAAGUGCAGGAUCGACAGGUAUUGGCGCGAACUAACUUUUCUGCAGGUCGAUCUUCAUCAUGGACACAACGUGCAUCCUCUACUUCAACUCCACCAGCACCU
rnacentral:rRNA from 1 species